UCCUGGAGGUGACUGUCCCCCUAGGAGAUGAUGUGGAUGGGGAAAUAGUUCAUACGCAGCUCAGCGACCUUGAAGCGGCAUCCGAGGAGAUGUGGCCACGGGGCAGGCGACCGACACCAGCGAGUCCAGAGGGCCAGCGUGUGCACCACUGUGUGUCUCCAGAGACUUCAGGAAGCAGCCACCACGCCCGAGGAAUGCAGGAAGAUGGACACACGGCUGGGGAAGUACAAUGAAAGGCCAAGUAGGCAGCCUGUUCUCCUCAGAUCAGUCCCCCACGAACACUCAUUCCCGAGGACUCAUCCAAUACUAAUAAGAGAAUGCUCUUGUUUUUGAAGAAU
rnacentral:lncRNA from 1 species